CAAGUUAAUCCUGUUAGUAGGAAUUUUUAUUUACAUUGAAAUAUAUUAUUGUGCAAUUCAAUAUAACUUGA
rnacentral:tRNA from 1 species